rnacentral:tRNA from 1 species
GGCGCCCGUAGCUCAGCCGGAUAGAGCACCAGAUUCCUAAUCUGGGGGCCAUGGGUUCGGAGUCGGAGGCACUUUGUGCCGGAGACGCAGCGCAGGCCAAUCCCGUCGGGCCUG